CACUAAUUACCUCACUAAUCCUAACAAUCAUACUAUCACUAGGAGGCCUACCUCCCCUCUCAGGAUUCAUCUGUAAAUGAAUAAUCAUCCAUGAACUCAUAAAAAAACACAUAGCCUCCAUAGCA